UUGCCUUAUAAACUUAGACUUUCUAAACAAGUUAAAUGGAACUAGGACCAGAAAUAAUAAAACUAGCUACAGCAUAGCCAUUUUUUCCAAUAUUGACAGGAGUGCAAGAAUGGGGACACCUGGUGAUUCACCUGGCUCAGAAUCCUCUCCCCCAGCAGUGGCCAGAGGAGAGAGAGACAAGAGACAAGAACCAGGUUUCUGAAGUCUCUGGACAGCUGGCAAAAGAGAAAAUUCAAACAAGGAAAAGAAGAGCAAGUGUUCCUCAGAUCUGCUUUUCCAGGCUGAUCUUUCUACCAGUUUAAGACCUGGUCUCCAGAAGUGGG